ACUCCUACGGGAGGCAGCAGUGGGAAGUAUUGGCACAAUGGGGAAACCCUGAUGCAGCCAUGCCGCGUGUGUGAAGAAGGCCUUCGGUUGUAAGCACUUUCAGUAGGGAGGAAGGUAGUGUAGUUAACACCUGCAUUAUUUGUACGUUACCUACAGAAGAAGCACCGGCUAACUCCGUGCCAGCAGCCGCGGUAAUACGGAGGGUGCGAGCGUUAAUCGGAAUUACUGGGCGUAAAGCGCAUGCAGGCGGCCUGUUAAGUCAGAUGUGAAAGCCCGGGGCUUAACCUCGGAAUUGCAUUUGAAACUGGCAGGCUAGAGUCUUGUAGAGGGGGUAGGAAUUUCAGGUGUAGCGGUGAAAUGCGUAGAGAUCUG
rnacentral:rRNA from 1 species